ACGAAGGGUGCAAGCGUUAAUCGGAAUUACUGGGCGUAAAGGGCGCGUAGGCGGUCUUGCAAGUCCCGUGUGAAAUCCCUCGGCUCAACUGAGGAACUGCACGGGAAACUGCUUGGCUUGAGUUCGGGAGAGGGAAGCGGAAUUCCGGGUGUAGCGGUGAAAUGCGUAGAUAUCCGGAGGAACACCGGUGGCGAAGGCGGCUUCCUGGACCGACACUGACGCUGAGGCGCGAAAGCUAGGGGAGCAAACGGGA
rnacentral:rRNA from 1 species